GUGCCUCUGCCUCAGACCACCAGGCUACAGCUGCCUGAGAGAGCAUUGGGAAAAUCACCCAGACUUGCCGGAGAUCAUGGCUCUUCAAGGAAGGUUGACAGAGGAGGAAGGAACAGGAGAGAGGGACGAUGAGGAGGACGGCGAAUCUAGCACAGAGCCAGAGGAAGAGAAAGACCGGGAUGCAGAUGAUGAUGAGGACGGAGAUGGGGAUGAUGAAGAUGAGGGGUUUGGACAUCCGAGACGGAAGGACGAUGAACCAUCUGGUUUCACCGUCAACAUGUACAAUGUCCUUCGGGAAAAUGAGUGUGAGUGAUCCCAGAGGGAAAGGCAAGCAGAAAGAAACAAGUUGUUCCUCUUUACUGACUUUUGCUCAUCUGCUCCAGUGCACCUUGCAUUCCUUGAUUGUCCUAAAGCUGCUUUCCUUCUCAUUUUUUGUCAUGUCUCCACUCCUCAUUUCAUUGAAUAACUUUUAAAAUCUGUUUCCUUCUCCCUAUAAUAUACAGAGCAAUUUUACGUGUUUCAUGCUGUGCCUCUGCUCUGCUUGUUCAUCCAAGAAGCUUAUUCUUCAUCCUCGCUUCUAGAAAUAGGUUUGGUUUAGUUUUGGUUUGAUUUGAUUUGAUCUUUAUAUUUUGCAUGUAGUUCUCAGAGAUAAAUUAACCAAUACCAGCCUGAAAUAAUUAUCCAGGCAAUCAGUCUUUUCAUUAAAAAGUGACCUCACAGCUGAGAUGCCAAAGUUCAGGAAAGGAUGAUAAAACAAUCAGAAUCACUGUUGAUAUGAUGUCAUUCACUGGAGCAACCAUUUGGCUCUCAGAUCAGUUCGAGAUUUAAGAACAUGACUUUAAAUCUUCUUUAUAGACCAUAGCAUGUCUCAGCUCUGGUUUGUGGGUUUGGGGUGGAAUAUGGGAUAUACUAGACUGAUAAAACCAACAUGUUACACACAGUUUUGCAGUAUUGUGACGCUGUGUGAGGAUCAUUUAUCUGAAUUUGGAUUUGAUUUAGAUUAUACUGUGUCUAACAAUGAUACUGUGCUUGGAGGAUUUUUUGGGGAUGAUAGAAGAGAAAUGGGUGUUCAAUUCUGUAUUGUUGGACGAGGCUGUUUCAGGAAUUAAACUUGUAGUGUUUUAACUACUACAACAGCUUUUGCUAGGUUCUGUUAGGGAUUUUACAUAUUCAGUUCAGGAUUUGGCUGCACUCAUUCAGUAUGUUUAUAUGCUCAUGACAGCACAGUGGGUCUAAUUUGACUAAGACUGCAUGAAAAUCAGUUGUAGGGACAAUUUGACUUUUUUCAAGGUAUGCGUGUUCAGUUUCUUGCUGAAAGUUAAAUAAAAACAUUGCUUGCAUUGUUUCAUAUAGUAAACAUGGAACUAUGGCUAGCUGCUAGUUAGCAUAGCUAUUAAAGACCAGAAAGAGAUAACCUGACUGUCAAAUGUAAACAAAAUCAAACUGACAGCACCUUUAAAACUAACAUUUUAAAUCUAGUCUGCUUACUUUGUGCUGAAAUCAGAUAAAGCAGCAAGCUAUGGUUUAAGUUUUUUCUUCAUUUAUUUGUUCCCUGAGCAGUGAAUUCCUGGACUUUAAUACAACCAACAGAGAGUCAGGGAAGUGACUCAUCUCUUUUGAGAAACUUUUUUUUUACUUUAAUAUUUUCUACAGCUUAAAUAAACAGGUCUAUACUGGUGUGUAUUACAUUUGGCCAGGCUAGCUGGUUCCAGCAGUUUCCAUUCUGCACUAAGCUAAACAGCUGAUGAAACAUGAUUAAGUGAAUUUCCCAAAAGGAAAACUAAUUUUUUCAUCACUCAGAAAGAGAAACUGGCCACUACAGCUUUUAUUGCUUCUAGAUAAUAUUUCUUUCUCUGCUGUUUGACCAGCCUCUCCCUUUGUUUUUCGGUGAUGUGUGAUGCGUGCUGUAUUAUUGUGUGCUGUUGUACCUCUUUCAUGUGUUCACCAAGGGAACGUUAACAGCACAGUGCUGUGUUACUGUGUAAUACAUCACACUGCGACCACAUGUGGUAUUUCCACCAUUAGUACAAUGAAAGCUGAUACUGAACACUACCAUGCUGUUAAAAACACAACAGGGUUCUAGUUGCGUUGGUAUGAAUUUUUUCUGGCAAUAUUAAAACUGACAGCGUAUGGAGUUUAUAAUAUCAGUGUAAAGGCUCAAGGUGUGUGCAGGCUACUUGCUCAUUCCUUUAUUUCAUUCCUAGUAUGCCUAAUGGUGACUGGACUGCUUUCUGCAAUAAAAGGAGAUAAUUCUGUGAA